GAUGAACGCUGGCGGCGUGCCUAAUACAUGCAAGUCGAGCGAACGGACGAGAAGCUUGCUUGUCUUAUGUUAGCGGCGGACGGGUAAGUAACACGUGGAUAACCGACCUAGAAGACUGGGAUAACUUCGGGAAACCGGAUCUAAUAUCGGAUAAUAGUUUGAACCGCAUGGUUCAAAAGUGAAAGACGGUCUUGCUGUCACUUAUAGAUGUAUCCUCGCUGCAUUAGCUAGUUGGUAAGGUAACGGCUUACCAAGGCAACGAUGCAUAGCCGACCUGAGAGGGUGAUCGGCCACACUGGAACUGAGACACGGUCCAGACUCCUACGGGAGGCAGCAGUAGGGAAUAUUGCGCAAUGGGCGAAAGCCUGACGGAGCAACGCCGCGUGUGUGAUGAAGGUCUUCGGAUCGUAAAACUCUGUUAUUAGGGAAGAAGAUAUGUGUAAGUAACUGUGCACAUCUUGACGGUACCUACUCAGAAAGCCCCGGCUAACUACGUG
rnacentral:rRNA from 1 species